GAAUUGAGUAACCUCAACCACAAUUUUAAAAUUAUCUGCUUUAUAGAAACACGGCUUAAAAACGAAAAAAAAUGCACGUUUUGUAUUAGCCAAUUACACAACAGUUCAUCAAUCGCGUCAAAAUCAUGCUGGAAGUGGGUUAUAGGAAGCUCGCAGAAGACUGGGGUCAGUCUUGUCAUCGAGUACCUUCUAGACGUGUAAUACACAUAAAAAUCAGUUGCAUACGUGGUAAAUAUGUAUGUGGUACAUAUAUGCCUUAAAAUUAUUAAUGUUACUAUCUCCUUUUA
rnacentral:misc_RNA from 1 species